rnacentral:lncRNA from 1 species
CCAAAACCUCACAGCGGUGGUGGACAAUUCUGCAAGGACACAGCAGUUCUGAAACUUGUCUUUGAGCACCUUUUUUGAGGAGCCACAGAAAUAAGCUCACUGACUUUAUGGUGGGUGGGUGGCUGGGGACACCUUGGAGGCGUGAACACUGUUUUUACUUAGCUGGCCUCCACUGAAAAUGCAGAGGACGACAGGUGUGAAUUGAAGACACUGCAGCUGGAUUAAUAAUUUGCUUCACAUCUGGGCCAGACGCUUAGAGUUUGGCAAAGGUAAGUUGAAGAUCCACCAUCUAUUUUUACGUGUUGGCCCGACCAUGCCACAGUUUAUGCUCUAUGUCAAAGAUUUGGCUGUGGCUACAGCUCAUGCAACUACAGAUUUUCAAUGGACAAGACUUAUCAGUUGUCAAACAAAGUAGAUCUAAUAGCUUUAAUUUUGAAUUUGUUUUUAAUUUAGAUUUUUGUUUUAAAAUCAAGAACUUUUUGGAUUGAUAAGAGUGUGGAAUACGCUUUUUGUUUAAACUGUUUGAAGAGGUAUUUAAAAUAAAAUUAAUUAUAUGUAAAGUUCUCCUGAAAUGUAUUUGACUUUUUACAGUACCAAAUUUCAUGUCGCGUCCAAGGGAGAUGUAAGUGUUCCCCGCUCUCACCCAGACCACCACCAACCUGCGAGGCAGCUGCGUGCAUGGCAGAGACUACUGGAGUUCAGGUUGGAGCCUGGCUUUGAGAGCAGAAGCAAAGAAGAACAAACUGUUCAAAGCCUUAUGACAGAUCAAAGCUGUGCUUAUAUAUGUUGGAUUUCUUUUUUCCUUGGAUGUGCAAUGAUUCUUGAGGUUAUGUCUUGGGCACUAGAGCUUCAGUUAUUUCUCAUCUGCAGCAUAUCCGAGUAAGGAAUUGCCCAUCAGGCAGACAGAUCAUCGGGUGCAUAAUGCAAGCAAAAUGAAUCUCUCUGUGCUCUGAUGUGAAUAGGCUGCAUUUCAUAAUGAGGAAUAAUCUGGUACAGAUACUUCAUGGAGCUGGCUCGCUAUAUGCGCUUGCAAUGGUAAAGCCAAGACCUAAAAUAAGCAGUGGGUAUAGAACACAGUACGUUGACUUUGCAGUAAGGGAAGAAGACCAGCAAAGGAAGUGGAACUGUUUAGUGCUGGCACUACCCUAAAAAGCUGGGCUGUUGUGGCAGAUGGACAGUGUCAUCGGUAUCUAAUGCAGCCUCCCAGGCAUGGAGCUAGAAGGACAAAGCCGGGAAGGAGAAGAAUCAACCUCACAAGUUUGAUUUUAUGGGAGCAGCCGGCAAACGGCAAUAAGAGUUUGGCUGUUGACUAUUAGGAACUGUGAAGUUAGUCAACAUGGACUUGGAGCGAGUGCUAUAUUAAAUAGAUGUUCAAACCAGAAUUGCCUACAUACGCUGAAUGAGGAUUCUGAUUGGGAAAUACCUGCCAAAAAAACGGGUGGUGGAAGUUGAAUAACAAACCACCCAUGCCGCUAAUAGUGCUGCAAUGCUAUCUUCGAAACAGGCUUAAGGAAUUCACUGUAAAGAUGUGGUGCAGGUAGGAACCUGCCAUAGACAGUUUAUUUGCUGGAGACAAAUGGUCAUGAUUCUGGUAUACAGCAUGGUAGCGCCUCAGCAAAAGAAAAUGGAGAGAGGAUUAAUGCAAAUGCUAGAGGUCUUUGCAAAGGACCCAAACUGUUUACAACUGGAGUGUGUUUAGCUGCAGGCUGCCAAUGUGAAACUGAACUCAGAGGCACCCAUUUUUUUUUUGGUGUGAGGUAACUCACUUCAGCAGCAUUAUCGUAGAACAAGGCAUUUCCUUGAGCACCCCCCACCCCGGGGGGGAAAAAAAAAAAAAAAAGCAAAGCCUGACUGCAAGACUGGGCCGUUCCCUCAGCCCAUGA